rnacentral:lncRNA from 1 species
CUUGGCUUACAUUUCUAUCUUGAUAGAAUACAAGGCAGUAUUGCAAAGAUGGGGGACAUGUUUGCAACCUGUAUCUGCGAAUGUUGGUGACAGGAGGUAGAAGUGAUCUCUGAUGAUGUCUUAAGAGAGAGAUGGAUGAUAAGUUCAUGGACCAGAGAGGAAAUCGGGAACACUCCCAGACAAAAGGCUGCGGGAUUUUCACCUCUUUGCUCUUCACUGGCACUCUCUUUCCAGCUGUCUGUUGUCAUGAAGCAUCUGCAGUUUUUGCCCUUAGGACAGAAGUGUGGGACAGGGAUCAGGGCUCCUUGGGCAGGAUGCUUGCCCAUCAUGUACAGAGCCCUGGAUUCCAGCGCCAGCACCACAGAACCCAGGCUCAGCUCUGUACUGCAUGCCUGUAAUCUCAGUACUCAGGAUAUGGAGGCAGGAAGAUCAGGAUCAAAGUCAUCCUCCGCUACACAUUGGGGAAACUUCAAAGCCAACCCGGUCGGUCGUCCUACAUCCAAAGC